rnacentral:rRNA from 1 species
CUACGGGGGGCUCCAGUGGGGAAUAUUGCACAAUGGAGGGAACUCUGAUGCAGCAACGCCGCGUGGAGGAUGACACUUUUCGGAGCGUAAACUCCUUUUAUAUAGGAAGAAGAUGACGGUACUAUAUGAAUAAGCGCCGGCUAACUCCGUGCCAGCAGCCGCGGUAAUACGGAGGGCGCAAGCGUUACUCGGAAUCACUGGGCGUAAAGAGCGUGUAGGCGGAUUAAAAAGUCAGAAGUGAAAUCCUAUAGCUUAACUAUAGAACUGCUUCUGAAACUCUUAAUCUAGAAUAUGGGAGAGGUAGAUGGAAUUUCUGGUGUAGGGGUAAAAUCCGUAGAGAUCAGAAGGAAUACCGAUUGCGAAGGCGAUCUACUAGAACAUUAUUGACGCUGAGACGCGAAAGCGUGGGGAGCAAGCAGGAUUAGAUACCCCCGUAGUC